ACUAUUCUGUGGGGCCCGUCACCGAGUUACGAUGAUUGAGCCAACGCCGUUAAAAUGGGAGACCGAUGCCGCUUGCCAGUGCAGUUCUUCAGCGUUAAGAAUUGCCAGAGGCUGCGGCUCUUAAAGGUCACCCACCUGUAAAUGCAGGUUCAAUUACGGCUCCGGAACGACCAUCGCGGAUGUCCC
rnacentral:other from 1 species